rnacentral:pre_miRNA from 1 species
UCUUAGGGAUGAAUAAAGAAAGUACCUUCUUGAGACAGAAUCUACUCCUGGUGCAGAUGCUGUGAA